GCGGAAGUUCCCGUUGCCUCCGUCAACAUCCCACCCAGAUGAGGAGCCACGGGAGCGCCCAGCGCACCCUGGUGGGGGGAUUGGCCCACUUCGCUGACAUCCCCAGAUGACAGACUCUCACGGGACACCUGACAAAAGAAGAACGACGGGUCGAGAACUGGAGAGCGACGGAGGAAUGCGCGCACGCAGCCAGGAUCGCAAGGUCGGAGAUUAGCGACAAGAAUGGCAAAGCGUGUCAGCUCCGCGAACGCACGGCAAAGAAAAAGGUCACCUUUUUGUCUGAGGACCCUGGACGCGCCGGCGUCGGGAGAGUCAGCGGAGGCGGCGCCGGAGCCGUCGUCGACCACAUGGAGCUGCGCGCGGCGCCAC